UGUCUACGGCCAUACCACCCUGAACGCGCCCGAUCUCGUCUGAUCUCGGAAGCUAAGCAGGGUCGGGCCUGGUUAGUACUUGGAUUGGGGGGGGGGGAGAAAUCUACACAAAGUGAUAA
rnacentral:rRNA from 1 species